rnacentral:rRNA from 1 species
UACGUAGGGUGCAAGCGUUAAUCGGAAUUACUGGGCGUAAAGUGUGCGCAGGCGGCCGAGCAAGUCGAGUGUGAAAGCCCCCGGCUCAACCGGGGAACUGCGCUUGAAACUGUUAGGCUCGAGUCAGCUAGAGGUACACGGAACUUCCAGUGGAGCGGUGAAAUGUGUUGAUAUUGGAAGGAACACCGGAGGCGAAAGCGGUGUACUGGGGCUGGUCUGACGCUGAGGCACGAAAGCCAGGGGAGCGAACGGG